AUACGGAGGGUGCAAGCGUUAUCCGGAUUCAUUGGGUUUAAAGGGUGCGCAGGCGGACUUGUAAGUCAGUGGUGAAAUCCCGGGGCUCAACCUCGGAACUGCCAUUGAUACUGCAAGUCUUGAGUUUGGUUGAAGUGGGCGGAAUGUAGCAUGUAGCGGUGAAAUGCAUAGAUAUGUUACAGAACACCGAUCGCGAAGGCAGCUCACUAAACCAACACUGACGCUCAGGCACGAAAGCGUGGGGAGCGAACAGGAUUAGAUACCCCGGUAGUCC
rnacentral:rRNA from 1 species